GUGUAGCUGAGGCUCGAGUACUGUAGGAGCAAGGGUCUCCGUUUUCUUGGUUCCUCCCUCUCCAGCUUAGAGUGGAAGGAGCCACCAUGUCACGUGGUGUGGCAUAUGCAUGUGACGAAGAACCGGCAGUAGCCGGGCCUUGAAGAAACAGCAGCUGCUGCGGAACGGUUGGUAACCUUGACGAUGAGUGCUUAGAGGAUUGGAACUAUCCGAUUUUUCCGUCAGAUACCUUAGUUUUGGGUGCUAUCCUGUGAUGGGGAAAGGUUCCUUCUCUCGAUGCUUCUGGAACAUGUCCAGUGGAUUGUGUCCUGCCAGGCGGGCUGGGGAGACAUGAAGACAAUUGGCUGCAGAGUUCUGUGUGGUCUGCUCCCUGCUUGUCCUCAUCUUCCUUUUGGUAGUCAGAGCCCAUGUGUUCUGUCAUGCUCUGUUGCUUUUACCAGGCUGUGCCUCACUUGAUCCAUUCCCCAGACACCCUUAUCUCAUCUUUCCUGACUUUGCACUCCUGGGUUUACUUAUCUCAGCCCUCAUCCCCUGCUUUGAGACAAGUCUCAGGUUUGCCACCUUCCUCUUUCCCUACUUGACCCAUUUCAUCAAUAUCUAUGGUUGGAUAAAUCACCCUAAUUAAAGUGAUAAAGUGCAAUCACCCAUAUGCCGGUACCUAUCUUC